rnacentral:tRNA from 1 species
GGGCCGGUAGCACAACCUGGUAAUGCGCUCGGUUCGCAUCCGAGAGAAUUCGGGUUCAAAUCCCGACCGGUCCA